AUUAUUAUUUAUUAAAUAUUAAUUAAACUUCAUAUUAUAUAGUUACCUUUUAAAAAAACAAAAUAUAAAAAUUAGGGAUUUGAUUUUAAUUAAUUUCAUAUUAUAUGGUUACCCAAUAACUAUCCACCCCCAUAUCAACCAAUACUCUUUUAUCUUCCCCCAAUACACUCAACAUUUCCCUAUUUACACUCUUCUCUUACUAUCAUAUUAAUUCUACACGUCUUUUUUCACGUUUCUCUCUCUAUUAAUCAAUUAAAGGCAGCACACAUUUCUCUCUCUAUUGAUUAAUUAAAGACAACACGACUAAUUUCUUUGUCAUAUUAAAUCUGAGAAUACAUAUACGCACGCUUAAUGUCAUCUUCAAGUACAAACAUUUUCAAGCUUUAAACUUAUUUCUCAAAAUCAUAUUAAGCUUAAAAUCCUUAUUCAACUACAUCUCUAUCAAUCUUUCACAAAAUUAAGUUUUUAUUUUUCGACCAUCAAAUUCGCAACAUUACAUGAUUUUUGAAAAAAAUCGUGUUGUAUAGAUCAUCAAACAGGAUCUGGGUUGUUGAAUACAAUGUCUAAACCAAAUAUCCUAAGGAGAUUCACAAGAGGCUAUACAACUGCGAUGGAAUUAGAGAAGAAGUCGAAUGAUGAACUAGUAAGAUCUAGUCCUUCUAAAAGGAAAGUAGUGUCAACGGUGAAAGCAAUCAGAAAAAAAUGUUAUAAGAGGAGGAAAG